UACGUAGGGUGCAAGCGUUGUCCGGAAUUAUUGGGCGUAAAGAGCUCGUAGGCGGUUUGUCGCGUCGAAUGUGAAAACCCGGGGCUCAACCCCGGGCCUGCAUUCGAUACGGGCAGACUAGAGUUCGGUAGGGGAGUCUGGAAUUCCUGGUGUAGCGGUGAAAUGCGCAGAUAUCAGGAGGAACACCGGUGGCGAAGGCGGUUCUCUGGGCAUGAUCUGACGCUGAGGAGCGAAAGUGUGGGGAGCGAACAGG
rnacentral:rRNA from 1 species